rnacentral:rRNA from 1 species
GACGAACGCUGGCGGCGUGCUUAACACAUGCAAGUCGAACGGAAAGGCCCUGCUUUUGUGGGGUGCUCGAGUGGCGAACGGGUGAGUAACACGUUAGUAACCUGCCCUUGACGUUGGGAUAACUUCAGGAAACUGGGGCUAAUACCGGAUAGGAGCUCCUGCUGCAUGGUGGGGGUUGGAAAGUUUCGGCGGUUGGGGAUGGACUCGCGGCUUAUCAGCUUGUUGGUGGGGUAGUGGCUUACCAAGGCUUUGACGGGUAGCCGGCCUGAGAGGGUGACCGGCCACAUUGGGACUGAGAUACGGCACAGACUCCUACGGGAGGCAGCAGUGGGGAAUAUUGCACAAUGGGCGGAAGCCUGCUGCAGCAACGCCGCGUGCGGGAUGACGGCCUUCGGGUUGUAAACCGCUUUCGCCUGUGACGAAGCGUGAGUGACGGUAAUGGGUAAAGAAGCACCGGCUAACUACGUG